GUACUUACCUGGACGGGGUCGACGAGCGAUCAACAAGACUCGUGGCCUAGGUCAAUGACUCACAUUGCACUUGGUGAGUGCGUUGGUCUACCAUCUUACCUAGUGGGAGAAUGAACGUCAUAAUUUGUGGUAGAGGGGGUAAGCGUUCGCGCGGCCCCUGC
rnacentral:snRNA from 1 species